rnacentral:misc_RNA from 1 species
GUAGAGGGAACAUUCAUCUUACUCUUCAUCACAUCCGUAAGCAAAACCGCCUCUGAAGCCUUGAAAUCAUAAGUCUGCAUCUUUGCAGGCGACACUAGUCUGUUGCUGGGAGUCUUCUACAAGACAAUCAGCAGCCACAAUACUGAAUUGUGGUUCACAGAUCAAACACUAGUGACCCAUUAUAUAAGAAUAUCUCAUGGGUUAAAAUAUGACCGGCUCCGUCUAGGAAUAGAUGGACUAUUGCGUUCCG